GGGGUUCAAAUGUUAUUACAAAAAUAAUAUAGUGGAGAAGUAAUACAGUUCUUAUGGAGUCUUUUUUGAAGAUGAUUUUGAAGUUUCUUGUGUUGGUAUUUGUUUCAACGAGUACUAUUGUUGGAGGUGUAUCGUACCGAGGCAUUCAAAACGUGCCAUGCUUGCCAUGCAUAGAUCCUACAUCUGAUGUAUGUUGUCGUCCUCCUUCUUCUCCUCCUAAGAGUACUAUUGCUGAAGGUGUAUCUAACAUAGGCCUUCAAAACGUGCCAUGCUUGCCCUGCGUAGAUCCUACAUCUGAUAUAUGUUGUCGCCCUCCAGAGAGUGCUACAAAGUCUUAGAUCUUAUUAGGGCUUGAGAUUAACCUUUAAAGCUCUUAAGUAUGAAAUAAAAUGUUUUUAUAUCCUUGUGUUUUGGAGUUCCUUGAAAAUAAGGAUUUAAUGAUGUGUAUUUUAUUCUUGUGCUUUAUGCUUAGACUAAAAAUUAUUUCUGCGA
rnacentral:lncRNA from 1 species